rnacentral:rRNA from 1 species
GACGAACGCUGGCGGCGUGCUUAACACAUGCAAGUCGAACGGAAAGGCCCCUUCGGGGGUCCUCGAGUGGCGAACGGGUGAGUAACACGUGAGUAACCUGCCCUUGACUUCGGGAUAACUUCAGGAAACUGGGGCUAAUACCGGAUAGGAAUCCUUGCUGCAUGGUGGGGGUUGGAAAGCUUCGGCGGGUUUGGAUGGACUCGCGGCUUAUCAGCUUGUUGGUGGGGUAGUGGCUUACCAAGGCUUUGACGGGUAGCCGGCCUGAGAGGGCGACCGGCCACAUUGGGACUGAGAUACGGCCCAGACUCCUACGGGAGGCAGCAGUGGGGAAUAUUGCACAAGGGGCGGAAGCCUGAUGCAGCAACGCCGCGGGCGGGAUGACGGCCUUCGGGUUGGAAACCGCUUUCAGCAGGGGCGAAGCUUGUGGUGACGGUACCUGCAGAAGAAGCACCGGCUAACUACGUG